AUGUCAUAUAUCUCAGGAGCUAGAUCACUUCCCGAUGAACAAGUCAGAAUUGCCUUAACAAAAAUGGAUGGAAUUGGACCGAAAAAAGCCAUUCAGCUUCGUUAUCGAUUAGGUAUGAGUGGGAACAUCAAGAUGAAUGAGUUAACUAAGUAUCAGAUCGACCAAAUUGAACAAAUGAUAGCUCAAGAUCAUGUUGUUCAUUGGGAAUUGAAGAGGGGAGAACGAGCAGACAUCAAACGAUUAAUUUCUAUUUCUCAUUAUCGUGGAAUUCGUCAUCAAGAUGGAUUGCCCUUACGCGGUCAACGAACUCAUACUAAUGCAAGGACUGCUCGUAAGCAAAUUCGGAAAUGA
rnacentral:rRNA from 1 species